rnacentral:rRNA from 1 species
UACGUAGGGUGCGAGCGUUGUCCGGAAUUAUUGGGCGUAAAGAGCUCGUAGGCGGUCUGUCGCGUCGAUCGUGAAAACUUGGGGCUUAACCCUGAGCUUGCGGUCGAUACGGGCAGACUAGAGGUAGGUAGGGGAGAAUGGAAUUCCCGGUGUAGCGGUGAAAUGCGCAGAUAUCGGGAGGAACACCGGUGGCGAAGGCGGUUCUCUGGGCCUGUACUGACGCUGAGGAGCGAAAGCGUGGGGAGCAAACAGGA